UACGGAGGGUGCAAGCGUUAAUCGGAAUUACUGGGCGUAAAGAGUGCGUAGGUUGUAUGGUGUGCUAGAUGUGAAAUCCAUGGGCUUAACCUGUGAAUUGCAUUUAAGACUGCCGUGCUAGAGUGUUGUAGAGGGUGGCGGAAUUUCCAGUGUAGCGGUGAAAUGCGUAGAUAUUGGAAGGAACACCAGUGGCGAAGGCGGCCACCUGGACAAACACUGACACUGAGGCACGAAAGCGUGGGGAGCAAACAGG
rnacentral:rRNA from 1 species